CCUACGGGAGGCAGCAGUGGGGAAUAUUGGACAAUGGGCGAAAGCCUGAUCCAGCCAUGCCGCGUGUGUGAAGAAGGCCUUCGGGUUGUAAAGCACUUUCAGUGGGGAAGAAAGCCUUGGGGCUAAUACCCUCGAGGAAGGACAUCACCCACAGAAGAAGCACCGGCUAACUCCGUGCCAGCAGCCGCGGUAAUACGGAGGGGGCGAGCGUUAAUCGGAAUUACUGGGCGUAAAGCGCGCGUAGGCGGUCUGAUAAGCCGGUUGUGAAAGCCCCGGGCUCAACCUGGGAACGGCAUCCGGAACUGUCAGGCUAGAGUGCAGGAGAGGAAGGUAGAAUUCCCGGUGUAGCGGUGAAAUGCGUAGAGAUCGGGAGGAAUACCAGUGGCGAAGGCGGCCUUCUGGACUGACACUGACGCUGAGGUGCGAAAGCGUGGGUAGCAAACAGGAUUAGAUACCCUAGUAGUC
rnacentral:rRNA from 1 species